UCCUCGGAUAGGAUAAUCCUUCCCUGUUCCUAUAUUCAGGGAGCAGAUAGAACAUGAUGGUUGGAGUUAGCAUGAUUCGUGAUUUAAUGUCUCUGCAUGGCUAGUGUUCACAAUACCCUAAUAGCUCCUACCUGGU
rnacentral:snoRNA from 1 species